UACGUAGGGUGCAAGCGUUGUCCGGAAUUAUUGGGCGUAAAGAGCUCGUAGGCGGUUCGUCGCGUCGGCUGUGAAAACCCGGAGCUCAACUCCGGGCCUGCAGUCGAUACGGGCGGACUUGAGUUCGGCAGGGGAGACGUGGAAUUCCUGGUGUAGCGGUGAAAAUGCGCAGAUAUCAGGAGGAACACCGGUGGCGAAGGCGGGUCUCUGGGCCGAUACUGACGCUGAGGAGCGAAAGCGUGGGGAGCGAACAGG
rnacentral:rRNA from 1 species